UACGUAGGGGGCGAGCGUUGUCCGGAUUUACUGGGCGUAAAGCGCGUGUAGGCGGCCGGAUAAGUCGGGUGUGAAAGCCCGGGGCUCAACCCCGGGAUGCCGCCCGAGACUGUUUGGCUUGAGGACGGAAGAGGGGAGUGGAAUUCCUGGUGUAGCGGUGAAAUGCGUAGAGAUCAGGAGGAACACCCGUGGCGAAGGCGGCUCCCUGGUCCGUUACUAACGCUGAGACGCGAAAGCGCGGGGAGCGAACGGG
rnacentral:rRNA from 1 species